UACGUAGGUGGCAAGCGUUGUCCGGAAUUAUUGGGCGUAAAGCGCUCGUAGGCGGGAUUGGAAGUCCGUGUUGAAAGACCUCGGCUCAACUGAGGGACCGGCUCGGAUACUCUAAUUCUUGAGGCAAUCAGAGGAUGAUGGAAUUCCCGGCGUAGCGGUGAAAUGCGUAGAUAUCGGGAGGAACACCAGUGGCGAAGGCGAUCAUCUGGGGUUGUUCUGACGCUGAGGAGCGAAAGCUAGGGGAGCAAACGGG
rnacentral:rRNA from 1 species